AAACUUAGGGGCUAAUACCGGAUACGUCCGUAAGGAGAAAGAUUUAUCGCCGAAGGAUCGGCCCGCGUCUGAUUAGCUAGUUGGUGGGGUAACGGCCACCAAGGCGACGAUCAGUAGCUGGUCUGAGAGGAUGAUCAGCCUCACUGGGACUGAGACACGGCCCAGACUCCUACGGGAGGCAGCAGUGGGGAAUAUUGGACAAUGGGCGCAAGCCUGAUCCAGCCAUGCCGCGUGGGUGAUGAAGGCCCUAGGGUUGUAAAGCCCUUUCGGCGGGGAAGAUAAUGACGGUACCCGCAGAAGAAGCCCCGGCUAACUUCGUGC
rnacentral:rRNA from 1 species